rnacentral:rRNA from 1 species
GAUGAACGCUAGCGGCAGGCUUAAUACAUGCAAGUCGUGGGGCAGCAGGUUUGUAGCAAUACAGAUGCUGGCGACCGGCAAACGGGUGCGUAACACGUACGCAACUUACCCAUUACUGGGGAAUAGCCCAGGGAAACUUGGAUUAAUACCCCAUAUUAUAUAGAGUAGGCAUCUAUUUUAUAUCAAAGCUUCGGCGGUAAUGGAUGGGCGUGCGGUUGAUUAGAUAGUUGGCGGGGUAACGGCCCACCAA